rnacentral:rRNA from 1 species
UAGGGAAUCUUCGGCAAUGGAACGAAAGUCUGACCGAGCAACGCCGCGUGAGUGAAGAAGGUUUUCGGAUCGUAAAACUCUGUUGUUAGAGAAGAACAAGGGUGAGAGUAACUGUUCACCCUUGACGGUAUCUAACCAGAAAGCCACGGCUAACUACGUGUCAG